rnacentral:rRNA from 1 species
CACGUAGGGUGCGAGCGUUGUCCGGAAUUAUUGGGCGUAAAGAGCUCGUAGGCGGUCUGUCGCGUCGGUCGUGAAAACUUGGGGCUUAACCCUGAGCUUGCGGUCGAUACGGGCAUGACUGGAGUUCGGCAGGGGAGACUGGAAUUCCUGGUGUAGCGGUGAAAUGCGCAGAUAUCAGGAAGAACACCCGUGGCGAAGGCGGUUCUCUGGGACGGUACUGACGCUGAGACGCGAAAGCGUGGGGAGCGAACAGG